rnacentral:rRNA from 1 species
UACGUAGGGGGCAAGUGUUGUCCGGAUUUAUUGGGCGUAAAGAGCGUGUAGGCGGCCAUGUAGGUCCGUUGUGAAAACUCGAGGCUCAACCUCGAGACGCCGAUGGAAACCAUGUGGCUAGAGUCCGGAAGAGGAGAGUGGAAUUCCUGGUGUAGCGGUGAAAUGCGCAGAUAUCAGGAAGAACACCCGUGGCUAAGGCGGCUCUCUAGUACGGUACUGACGCUGAGACGCGAAAGCGUGGGGAGCGAACAGG